rnacentral:rRNA from 1 species
UGGAUCAUGUUGUUUAAUUCGAUGAUACGCGAAGAACCCUACCAGGUCUUGACAUCCCCCGCGAUGCUUUAGAGAUAAAGCGGAGGUAUUCGGGGAGACAGGUGGUGCAUGGUUGUCGUCAGCUCGUGUCGUGAGAUGUUGGGUUAAGUCCCGCAACGAGCGCAACCCCUAUUGCUAGUUACCAUCAUUAAGUUGGGGACUCUAGCGAGACUGCCAGUGAUAAACUGGAGGAAGGUGGGGAUGACGUCAAAUCAUCAUGCCCCUCAUGACCUGGGCUACAAACGUGAUACAAUGGCUGGAACAAAGGGAUGCGAAGCAGUGAUGUGGAGCGAAACCCAUAAAAACAGUCUCAGUUCGGAUUGAAGUCUGCAACUCGACUUCAUGAAGUCGGAAUCGCUAGUAAUCGCGGAUCAGAACGCCGCGGUGAAUACGUUCUCGGGGUUU